CUUGGAGCGAACAAAAUGGAGAUCAUCGUGUCAAAAUGGUAUAAGAAACUUUAUUGCAACCAGCAUUAACAUGCUUAGGGGAGCAAAGCAGAGGAGAAAAGCGGCUGCAAAUAUAUCGCCUGCACUGACCCGUGAUCCUCAUACUUGCAACAUCUGAGAGAUCAGAAGAG